ACUCCACGUCUCAAUACAGGAUUCGGGGCCGGGUGGCUCCCAGCAAUUUGCCAGGCCCCCUAGUCCCCCCAAACCCCCAUCGCCGGCGCCGGCCACGGCCAGGACGCACGGGGUCCUCUCUGGCGCGGGGCCUUCAGCCUUGCAACCCAGAUUUGCCGGAGACUCCAAAUGGUCUCGUCGAGGAGGGGGAGGCGCCCAGGCCCAGCCGAGCCGAGGUCAUAAAUCUGAAAGACUGUAAAAGACUGAUUGCUGUCCAGGAGCGUGAUCACUGGCGAAUGGAUUAAUGGAAGAUGUGCAGCAUGUGCUUUGAGGAUCUAUCUAGUCAGGCAACAGGUAUUCAAGAUCUCAGUUAGGAUAUGACCCAUUUAGUUGACUGCAACUAAUGGGCAUAUUAGUUUGAUAAUCGUAGUUUUGCAUGCCAGGGAUCUUAAAAAGUUGUUUGAUUAUCAUGACAGCAUAUCUGUAGAAGACAAUACUCUAUUCUUUCUGUUUCGUUCCUAGUUUAAUCUUCACAAUUUAACUAGAUAGCUACCUAAGGGGGAAAAACGAGCUAGGUAACUGUCUGCCACUAUCCUCCGAAGAGAAAAGGAUUGAAACUAUUUUAGGUUAAUGUUAAUUACCACUCAAAAACUUUUGCCUGACGUGCUCAGUUGGGUGUGAAUGGACAGUUAUUGUGGUCUUGCAAAGCAGUUGCCGAAAGUAGGUGAUUUGAUUGAAAAAGUGAUAAUUUAAUUGGAAAAGAUGCAUCAUGCAUGCCAUGAGACUGAAAUGCAGGCAUCAAUGAUAACUGAUAAAUGCUAUAUCCAUCAUGCGGUGAAGAUCUACAUGAAGCUUGAUAGAGAAAAGCAAGAAAAGGCAUGUUUUUCGUUAUCAACCCAAAAGAAGAUUAUUUCUCUUACCCCAGAACAAUAGGUUCCAUCACAAGGAACAGUCACUUCUCAGAAGCUGCCAAAGAAGUUAGAGCGCCAUACUUGGUCUUUAUUCACGAAGUAUGCUGCAAUGCUGUAUACUGAACAUAUCGCGGCGUCCCCAAAAAGAUGUAUGUCUACUAGAGGCUAAUGUCACCAAUCCUUUGGGUGUUAGUCUGUUUCGGAACAGGCUCCUAGUUGAAGCAAAACGGAGAUCAGAGACCUCGAGUGUCUUAUCACAGAUCACUUGUGUAAUACCAUCACAUGGUUCCCUACUUCCUCAUUCAGUUACUGGAUUAAGUCAUGGAAAUUACGGUAUGGCAAGCCCGGUCCUGGUAACAAUUCCAUCAGAUGAAAACGACUGACUGUCCGAUAGACCGCUAAUAAUUGGGGUAUGGAGAACCUGUCCCCCUGAAAUAACUCAGGC